GGGGCGAUAGCUCAGUUGGUAGAGCACCUGCUUUGCAAGCAGGGGGUCGCCGGUUCGAAUCCGGUUCGCUCCA
rnacentral:tRNA from 2 species